AGUGGAACUCAGUAAAUGUUCCUUGAAUGAAUGCUUAUGUUGACUUGGGUAUUCCAGCUAAGCAUAACCCAGUCUGUUUAUUAGAACUGAUUACAGCUCUUUCAGAGGAAAAGAGUGCUUAGAAGAACAAGGGAUGGGACACUGAAUCAUGACACGUUUGGGGUGGUCUGUUGGUGACAACUUUUAAUGGAAAGAGGCUCUCACUUUUCGGCCCUUCAGAGGCUGUGGUGGACGGUGAUUGCUCAACAAAAAAGCCGCUGCUUUGCCCUCCCCUGUACACAAGAGGGUGCGGAAUGUGGCCAGCUGUUGAAAAAAAGAGAAGAGUUCGUUUUAGCAUAGAAAGUCACGCCAAUGUUAAUGAAUUGCCCUGCACAGAAAGUUAAGAAACUUAUAAGCUUUCUUCUACUGGGAACUAAAUGUAUUUCAAUGAAAAUUUUCUAAGUUAUGGGUCAUACAUCAUAAAGCAACCCUUCUGCUAGAUUCUUAUCACAAUACAAAUACCUAUGGGUUCAAAAAUUAAGUAUAUAAGCUUUCUUAAUUUGAAGAUCAAAGUAAUAAGAGGAAACAACAUUUAGAAUGUGGUUUAAAGAGUACAUAUCUAGAAAUCAGAGAAUGUCACCUGCAAAGGCAUAAUGGGACAGUGGAAAGGGUUUUCCAAGCUGGGUCCCAGUCCUGGUUCUGCC